rnacentral:rRNA from 1 species
AGCCCUAAACACAUGGCAAGUCGAGCGGUAGCACAGAGAGCUUGCUCUCGGGUGACGAGCGGCGGACGGGUGAGUAAUGUCUGGGAAACUGCCUGAUGGAGGGGGAUAACUACUGGAAACGGUAGCUAAUACCGCAUAACGUCGCAAGACCAAAGUGGGGGACCUUCGGGCCUCAUGCCAUCAGAUGUGCCCAGAUGGGAUUAGCUAGUAGGUGGGGUAACGGCUCACCUAGGCGACGAUCCCUAGCUGGUCUGAGAGGAUGACCAGCCACACUGGAACUGAGACACGGUCCAGACUCCUACGGGAGGCAGCAGUGGGGAAUAUUGCACAAUGGGCGCAAGCCUGAUGCAGCCAUGCCGCGUGUGUGAAGAAGGCCUUCGGGUUGUAAAGCACUUUCAGCGGGGAGGAAGGCGAUAAGGUUAAUAACCUUGUCGAUUGACGUUACCCGCAGAAGAAGCACCGGCUAACUCCGUGCCAGCAGCCGCGGUAAUACGGAGGGUGCAAGCGUUAAUCGGAAUUACUGGGCGUAAAGCGCACGCAGGCGGUCUGUCAAGUCGGAUGUGAAAUCCCCGGGCUCAACCUGGGAACUGCAUUCGAAACUGGCAGGCUAGAGUCUUGUAGAGGGGGGUAGAAUUCCAGGUGUAGCGGUGAAAUGCGUAGAGAUCUGGAGGAAUACCGGUGGCGAAGGCGGCCCCCUGGACAAAGACUGACGCUCAGUGCGAAAGCGUGGGGAGCAAACAGGAUUAGAUACCCUGGUAGUCCACGCCGUAAACGAUGUCGAUUUGGAGGUUGUGCCCUUGAGUCGUGCUUCCGGAGCUAACGCGUUAAAUCGACGUCUGGGGAGUACGCGCAAGGUAAACUCAAUUGAUGGACGUGGCCCGCACAGCGGUGGAGCAUGUGCCUGAAAUCGAAUGCAACCGAUGACUUUACUGGAUCCUGGACUCCCACUGAAACCU